UUCGCAGUGGCGGAUUGGCCUAUGUGGCGGUCCCUUCGGAACCCGGCUAUCGAAUUAUCUUUAAUUUGCGCAGACAAUAUACCACCAGAUAUAAUUUUCACUCGGGCCGAUAAAGGCAAUGUGACCGUUGCACUGGACAGGGAUAUGUAUAUUUCCAAAGUCAACGACUUACUGAAGGAUACAGAUACUUACACCAAAA